rnacentral:tRNA from 1 species
GGAUAUAGCUCAGUUGGUAGAGUGCUUGCCUUAUAUGCGCAAGGCCCUGGGUUCCAUCCCCAGCACCA